GACGAACGCUGGCGGCGUGCUUAACACAUGCAAGUCGAACGGAAAGGCCCUGCUUUUGUGGGGUGCUCGAGUGGCGAACGGGUGAGUAACACGUGAGUAACCUGCCCUUGACUUUGGGAUAACUUCAGGAAACUGGGGCUAAUACCGGAUAGGAGCUCCUGCUGCAUGGUGGGGGUUGGAAAGUUUCGGCGGUUGGGGAUGGACUCGCGGCUUAUCAGUUUGUUGGUGGGGUAGUGGUUUAACAAGGCGUUGACGGGUAGCCGGGCUGAGAGGGUGACCGGCCACAUUGGGACUGAGAUGCGGCCCAGACUCCUACGGGAGGCAGCAGUGGGGAAUAUUGCACAAUGGGCGGAAGCCUGAUGCAGCAACGCCGCGUGCGGGAUGACGGCCUUCGGGUUGUAAACCGCUUUCGCCUGUGACGAAGCGUGAGUGACGGUAAUGGGUAAAGAAGCACCGGCUAACUACGUG
rnacentral:rRNA from 1 species